rnacentral:rRNA from 2 species
GUCCUUUUGUUGAUAAUUUAAGGUCUAGCCUGCCCACUGAAAUUUUAAAUGGCCGUGGUAUUUUGACCGUGCUAAGGUAGCAUAAUCAUUAGUUUUUUAAUUAAAAACUGGAAUGAAAGGUUGGAUAAGAAAAUAGCUGUCUCUGUUAAAUUUAAUUAGAAUUUUAUUUUUAAGUUAAAAAGCUUAAUUAUUGUUAAAAGACGAGAAGACCCUAUAGAGUUUAAUUAUUUAAUAAAAAUUAUAUUUUAGUAUUUAUUUAUUUAUUUUAUUAAAUAAUUUAAUUGGGGUGAUUGAAAAAUUUAAUUAACUUUUUUUAUUUAGAAACAUUAAUUUAUGAAUAAAUGAUCCAAUAUUUUUGAUUAUAAGAUAAAAUUACCUUAGGGAUAACAGCGUAAUUUUUUUAGAAAGUUCAUAUUAAAAAAAAAGAUUGCGACCUCGAUGUUGGAUUAAAAUAAAUUUUUGGUGUAGAAGCUAAAAUAUUAGGUCUGUUCGACCUUUAAAAUUUUACAUGAUCU